ACGAACCAAGGAGUGCAACAGUUGUGCGAGUAUUCGGGCGUCAAACCCGGGUGAUGCGCAAUGAAGGUGAAGGCGGGACUAGUGGCCCGCCGAGGCGAGAGCCGCUUCGCGCGGCGCAUCGUCGACCGAUCCGUUGCCACGCUGUGGCGGGAUUCGAGUGAGAGCGUUGCUGUUGCGACCCGAAAGAUGGUGAACUAUGCCUGAGUAGGGCGAAGCCAGAGGAAACUCUGGUGGAAGCCCGCAGCGGUUCUGACGUGCAAAUCGAUCGUCAAACUUGGGUAUAGGGGCGAAAGACUAAUCGAACCAUCUAGUAGCUGGUUCCCUCCGAAGUUUCCCUCAGGAUAGCUGGAGCCCGUUGCGCAGUUUUAUCAGGUAAAGCGAAUGAUUAGAGGUCUUGGGGUCGAAACGACCUCAACCUAUUCUCAAACUUUAAAUGGGUAAGACGUCCGGCUUGCUCAAUCGAAGUCGGGCCACGAAUGCCUGGGCUCCCAGUGGGCCAUUUUUGGUAAGCAGAACUGGCGAUGCGGGAUGAACCGAACGCCGGGUUAAGGUGCCCGAAUCGACGCUCAUCAGAUCCCAGGAAAGGUGUUGGUUGAUCUAGACAGCAGGACGGUGGCCAUGGAAGUCGGAAUCCGCUAGGG
rnacentral:rRNA from 1 species